AUUCUACAGAUCUGCCAUACAACAUUGUGCUUAUGGUUAACAGUGUUACAGUGUGCACUUAAAUAUUUAUUAACAGGGUAGAUCUAUAGUUAAGUGUUCUUACCACAAUAAAAAAAGACUAAUGUAUUAAAAAGAAUUGUUAGUUUAUGUUUUUGUAUAUAUUAUGCAUAAAGAUGUAAUUCUUUGACACCAACAACUGAAAAAGGUGGGGACUGAGCUGUAAAGGAGCAGAGUUUUUGUGUGUUAUUGAAGUUAAGCUGUAUAAAUUCAAAUCAGAGUAUUAUAACUUUAGAAUGUUAAAUGUAAUCUCCAUGGUAACCACAGAGAAAGUAGCUAUAGAAUAUUUACAAAAGGAAAUGAGUAAGAAAUGUAAAUGCUUCACUGUAAAAAAAAAACAGCAACUAAAUACAUAUGAAGAAAGUAAUGCAGGAAAUAAAGGACAAAAAGAAGCUAUAAGGAAAAUCAAGAAGAUUGUUUUAGGCAUCUUUGAACCAAGUGUGUGUUUUCAUUUGCAAACCAGCUGCAUUUGUGAAAGAAGUAAGCAACUCUUCAACAUGACUCUAUGCAGUCUUAUCUCAUAUUGUCACAACAAAGCAUAA
rnacentral:lncRNA from 1 species